UAGGGAAUCUUCGGCAAUGGACGAAAGUCUGACCGAGCAACGCCGCGUGAGUGAAGAAGGUUUUCGGAUCGUAAAACUCUGUUGUUAGAGAAGAACAAGGACGUUAGUAACUGAACGUCCCCUGACGGUAUCUAACCAGAAAGCCACGGCUAACUACGUGCCAGCAGCCGCGGUAAUACGUAGGUGGCAAGCGUUGUCCGGAUUUAUUGGGCGUAAAGCGAGCGCAGGCGGUUUCUUAAGUCUGAUGUGAAAGCCCCCGGCUCAACCGGGGAGGGUCAUUGGAAGCUGGGAGACUUGAGUGCAGAAGAGGGGAGUGGAAUUCGAUGUGUAGCGGUGAAAUGCGUAGAUAUAUGGAGGAACACCGGUGGCGAAGGCGGCUCUCUGGUCUGUAACUGACGCUGAGGCUCGAAAGCGUGGGGAGCAAACAGG
rnacentral:rRNA from 1 species